rnacentral:rRNA from 1 species
AUUGGAGGAAAGUAGGGGAUCGAAAGACCUUAUGCUUUUGGAGCGGCGGAUGUCUGAUUAGCUAGUUGGUAGGGUAAUGGCUUACCAAGGCGACGAUCAGUAGUUGGUCUGAGAGGACGACCAGCCACACUGGGACUGAGACACGGCCCAGACUCCUACGGGAGGCAGCAGUGGGGAAUUUUGGACAAUGGGCGCAAGCCUGAUCCAGCAAUGCCGCGUGAGUGAAGAAGGCCUUCGGGUUGUAAAGCUCUUUCAGUUGAAAAGAAAAAGCCGUGACUAAUAAUCAUGGUUCAUGACGGUAUCAACAGAAGAAGCACCGGCUAACUACGUGCCAGCAGCCGCGGUAAUACGUAGGGUGCAAGCGUUAAUCGGAAUUACUGGGCGUAAAGGGUGCGCAGGCGGUUCUGUAAGUCAGAUGUGAAAUCCCCGGGCUUAACCUGGGAACUGCGUUUGAAACUACAAAGCUAGAAAU